rnacentral:rRNA from 1 species
CACGGAGUUAGCCGGUGCUUAUUCAUAGAGUACCGUCAAGUGAGAAAGAAUUCCCGUUUUUCGUCCCCUAUAAAAGAAGUUUACAACCCAGAGGGCCUUAAUCCUUCACGCGGCAAGUCUGAUA